AUACGGAAGGUCCGGGCGUUAUCCGGAUUUAUUGGGUUUAAAGGGAGCGCAGGCGGAGAUGCAAGCGUGACGUCAAAUUUCGGGGCUCAACCCCGUCUCGCGUCGCAAACUGCGUCCCUUGGUUGCGGGAAGGGGAGGCGGAACUCGUGGUGUAGCGGUGAAAUGCAUAGAUAUCACGAAGAACUCCGAUCGCGAAGGCAGCCUUCCGGCCCGUCAACGACGCUCAUGCUCGAAGGUGCGGGUAUCAAACAGGAUUAGAUACCCUGGUAGUCCGCACAGUAAACGAUGAUUACCCGCUGUCGGCGGUAGACAGUCGGCGGCCAAGCGAAAGCGAUAAGUAAUCCACCUGGGGAGUACGCCGGCAACGGUGAAACUCAAAGGAAUUGACGGGG
rnacentral:rRNA from 1 species